UAUGCCCUGCCAGAUCUGCCCUGGUUAACUGGAAACUUCUAGGAGCAGCAACAACAGCUCAGACACUAAGUAGUAGGCCACACAAGCUCACAGAACGAGACCACUGAGUUUUUUGUUGUUGUUUUUUCACCUUUAUUUAACCAGUUGAAGUAAUCCCCAGCAAGGGUUAGGUGAUGACAAGGGGGCAGGUCACUAUGAACUUUAGUGAAGAAAAUGGUCACUCUGUAACCAAAUAGGUCCCGUACUCCUGAGGAGAGGGGCCGGAGAGAGAGGGAGAAUGCCCAAUGUAUGGGAAAGGAUGCCCUGCUCUUAUCAAAGCUAGCCACUGGCAAACAGUUGUUUUCUGUCCCUUUGAAAUCGAAAUCUGUGGUUGAAGAAGUGCUGAUGGAUUAAAUGUAGAAGUGGUGUCUUCCUACAUAAAACCCCACACUCUAAAACCACUUCACGCCACACGCAAUGAUGAAUAGAGAUUGCAGAGAUUUUUUAUUGCGAAAGCAUACCGUCAGAAAAGAAAUAGUGAAUUUGACAGUUUGUCGGAGUCCUCCUUUGGGGGGGAAGUGAAUGCAGACUUGAAAACCUUGUUCUAGGGCUCACAGAAGAUAAAGAAACACGUUUUGUGCCUCCAGUACAAAUGUUUACCCAACUAUUCAUUGCAUUUUAUGUACACUCGUGUUUUAGUAGAUACUCCACCAUGCAUGGAACAACACAGAAAUGACUGUGAAAUACAUUAUUCUUGCCCACAUUGUUUCUAGUGACUCUUGAAUGUAAAUCAAACCACUUUGGUUUUAGAGACCCUAAUGCUAGAUUGAGAGAUAUAAUGUUUGUUUAGAUCCUUUAAAAAAAUAGAAAUGUAGUUGAUAUUUUCACUCUCUUUGUUGUUUUCUAUUGGCGUGCACUUUUCUUUUUUGCACAAUCUCUAAUGUUUUUCUCUUCCAAAAGACUGCGGAAAAGUCUGCAGGUCUGCAAACCCCAAUGUAAGCUGCAGGAGCUUGUAGAUAGCAUUCGGAAAUCAGAAUACAAAAUACCUAUGAGCUACUUACAAUGCAAAUCAGAAGUGUGAACAGCCGUAAGAGGGCUCUUCAGUCAAGAAUGGGUAUUAAAAUGAAGUAAGAAUGCAGGGGAGAUAAAUAGAAGAAUAAGCAGAGUCUUGUAGAGGUUGAGUCAACAAUGGUUGUUUUCCAGUCACAACUCAUCCAUGGCCCACAGCAAGUUAGCAGAGAACAUUUUCAGCAUGAUUGAAGCACUCCAAUAUCACCUUCACCAUUUUUGUUACCACAUAGAAAAGGAGGUACACCCUUUUGUUGUUGACUUUUGGGUUUCCCCCAAAAAUAAGGAGUUUUUGAAAUAUGCUUUUCAUCUGUCUGUAAGGAAUGCCAACUGGUUGCAGCAUAUUUAAAU